UACGAAGGGGGGCUAGCGUUGUUCGGAUUUACUGGGCGUAAAGCGCACGUAGGCGGAUCGAUCAGUCAGGGGGUGAAAUCCCAGGGCUCAACCCUGGAACUGCCUUUGAUACUGUCGAUCUGGAGUAUGGAAGAGGUGAGUGGAAUUCCGAGUGUAGAGGUGAAAUUCGUAGAUAUUCGGAGGAACACCAGUGGCGAAGGCGGCCCACUGGCUCGACACUGACGCUGAGGCGCGAAAGCGUGGGGAGCAAACAGG
rnacentral:rRNA from 1 species